AAGCUCGUAGUUGAAUUUCGGGAUUAGUACGUCGGUCGUGCCUUAGGUACGUACUGGUGUUACUGGUUCCUACCUUCUGACGAACCAUCAUGUCAUUAAUUUGGUGUGGUGGGGAAUCAGGACUGUUACUUUGAAAAAAUUAGAGUGUUUAAAAGCAGGCUCGCGCUUGAAUACAUUAGCAUGGAAUAAUGAAAUAGGACGUUGGUCCUAUUUUGUUGGUUUCUAGGAUUGACGUAAUGAUUAAUAGGGAUAGUUGGG
rnacentral:rRNA from 1 species